AUGAAAAAAAAAGCAUCCGAAGGCCUGUUUGUGUUUGAUGAAAAAGUUAGUCGUGAACGCAUGGUCAAGUAUUGCGUCCAUGCUGAGAUCCCCUUUCUUAAGUUUGAAGAUCCCCACCUUCAGCCAUGGAUUGACUCAAUGCAGCCAACAUUUCAAAUCAAGGGUCGUCACACAAUUCGUGAUGAUGCAGAGAAGAUGUAUAAGGGAAUGAAGAAAGAUAUCGAAGUAGAGCUACAAAAUUCGGAUUCUCGCAUUUGCUUAACAUCUGACAUGUGA
rnacentral:rRNA from 1 species